GCGUCCCCGAGGCCACGCUCCGGCCAUGAUCACUCGGUGAAGCUGCGCCGCGACAGCGUGGCCGACUUCUGGCGCUGUGAGGAGCUGUGUGCGCUGCAGGACUCGCUGCCUCUGCCCGCCGUUCGCGCUUCCCUGCGGGAGGGCUGCUGGACUUCAACGCCGACCGCCUCCGUGGGGUUGACUGGACGCCGCUCUUGAGCACCCUCUGCCCGUGAUCUGUAUCCAGAGUUUCUUCCAGCCACGGCUUGGCGAAACAGGUUGUGACAGAAAUGAAGUUUACAGAAGUCGUGUUCCUGCGAUAAGAAAUAAAGAUGUGACCUUCCAGUUGUGUAAAGCUCAUGAAGGCUGUUAUCAGACUAUCAGAAGGCAUGAAGAAACCUGGGCUGAGAGUCUUCGUUCCAGGAGACCUGAUCUUGACUGUAUGCCUGGUUUGAGGCGCAUCGCUCUGAACUGCAACAAGCUCAUUGGUGACCUGGGUGCUCAUGCUUUUGCAGAAUCUCUUAGUGAGGAUUUAUGGCUUGGAGGCUUGGCCGCAAAGCAACCUGUGCGUAAUGGAAGGAAACCCUCUGCUGGUAAAGAAUGUUAUGGUCCUGAACCUCUACCACCUGGUGUGUCUGGUUUCCGGCGUGGCGUACUGCAGAACGUGCAAAAAGCAGCAGACACUCAGGUCCAUCAGAAUUUCCUGUGACUGUGACAGUAGAGAGUCCUUCCUCCUCAGAAAUCGAAGAGGUCGAUGAUUCCUCAGAAAGUGUUCAGGAAGAGCCAGAGAAAAUCCGUUUGAAACAAGAAGCACUGCAGCCCUUCAUGUCCACAAGCAUGAUCCUGGAUGAUGAAGGUGUUUUGGGCAGCAUUGAGAAUUCUUUUCAGAAGUUCCAUGCUUUCUUGGAUCUCCUUAAAGAUGCUGGGUUAGUUCAUUUCUCUUCAUGGCGUUCUUCUCUUUGCGACUAUAAUGGUAGUUUGCUGAGGAACUGGAGCAAUUUUCAUCACUUACGUGGCCAUAUUUAGCCAAAUUUAGUGUAAUUAUAGGUAAUAUGGUUGACGUUUUAAAAGGAGGAAUUAAAUUUUUUAAGAAAUGCAAAUAGGGGAGCCUGCUUUGGUAGAGUGGGGAGCCCAUUAUAAAAGAGUAACCUGUAGACAGAGUAAUUAGUAGGUACAGUUUUUUAUGAAGACUAAAUUGAAAGCAGUUUUCAUUGAAAAUAUUCGGGAAUGGAUAAGAAUUUUCCUAUCUUUCAUUUACUUUGCUUGUUUGAUAAGUUUGAAUUAAAGUUAUUUUUGUCUUAGACAUAAAAAUUAUUAUUAAUCUGCAGGGAAGAUAUAGGUCAGUGGUU